CCCUUAGAUGUUCUGGGCCGCACGCGCGCUACACUGAUGCAUUCAACGAGUCUAAAACCUGCUCUGAUAGGGGUGGGUAAUCUUUUGAAUGUGCAUCGUGAUUGGGAUAGAUGAUUGCAAUUUUUCAUCUUCAACGAGGAAUGCCUAGUAAACGCAAGUCAUCAGCUUGCAUUGAUUACGUCCCUGCCCUUUGUACACACCGUCCGUCGCUCCUACCGAUUGAAUGAUCCGAUGAAUAUCAUGGAUUGAGGAUGCAAGCAGGUUCGCCUGUCUUCAUCUUCGAGAAGUGAAGUAAAUCUUAUCAUUUAGAGGAAGGAGAAGUCGUAACA
rnacentral:rRNA from 1 species